rnacentral:rRNA from 1 species
UAAUACGUAGGGGGCGAGCGUUGUCCGGAUUCAUUGGGCGUAAAGCGCUCGUAGGCGGCUUGGCAAGUCGGAUGUGAAAACUCCAGGCUCAACCUGGAGCCGCCAUUCGAUACUGCCAUGGCUAGAGUCCGGUAGGGGAGUGUGGAAUUCCCGGUGUAGCGGUGAAAUGCGCAGAUAUCGGGAGGAACACCGAUGGCGAAGGCAGCACUCUGGGCCGGUACUGACGCUGAGGAGCGAAAGCGUGGGGAGCGAACA